AAGUAGAUUGCUUGAUUUCCUCCCUCCAACCUUUAACUGCCUGACUUUGAGUCAGUAUAGUCGUCUGCUGUUGGCAACCCUUCGGUACUCCACCAUGCUUCAGUUCCUGGUUGGCUUCGCCUUGGGGAAUGUCGUGGGAAUGUACCUGGCUCAGAACUACGAGGCAAGUUUUGUAUCUACCAGAAUAUCAAUUCAACGUGUCGAAGUUAUCAGCUUUCUUCCUACAUUGACCCAUAUCUUGGACGCCCUCCGCCGGUCAGAUGUAGAGCGUGCAGAACUCCCGGACAGAUUCCCAACAUAGCCAAGAAAAUUGACGCCUUUAAGAAAGAUGUGGAGGCCAAGAAGAAGCCCCCAAGUUGAGCAGAGCGAGACCAUGUCGCAAGAACAGAUGCACUCUGUAAAGAAACUAUUUAUUGCACAGGGACAUGGGACAAUGAGUGUACAUUUGAUAAAAUUACUUUGUAAAACGUGA